rnacentral:rRNA from 1 species
UACGUAGGGCGCAAGCGUUGUCCGGAAUUAUUGGGCGUAAAGAGCUCGUAGGCGGUUUGUCGCGUCUGUCGUGAAAGCUUGGGGCUUAACCCCAAGUCUGCGGUGGAUACGGGCAGACUAGAGGCAGGUAGGGGAGAACGGAAUUCCCGGUGUAGCGGUGAAAUGCGCAGAUAUCAGGAGGAACACCGGUGGCGAAGGCGGGUCUCUGGGCCGUAACUGACGCUGAGGAGCGAAAGCAUGGGGAGCGAACAGG